UGGGGAAUAUUGGACAAUGGGCGAAAGCCUGAUCCAGCCAUGCCGCGUGUGUGAAGAAGGUCUUCGGAUUGUAAAGCACUUUAAGUUGGGAGGAAGGGCAGUAAGCGAAUACCUUGCUGUUUUGACGUUACCGACAGAAUGAGCACCGGCUAACUCUGUGCCAGCAGCCGCGGUAAUACAGAGGGUGCAAGCGUUAAUCGGAAUUACUGGGCGUAAAGCGCGCGUAGGUGGUUCGUUAAGUUGAAUGUGAAAGCCCCGGGCUCAACCUGGGAACUGCAUCCAAAACUGGCGAGCUAGAGUAGGGCAGAGGGUGGUGGAAUUUCCUGUGUAGCGGUGAAAUGCGUAGAUAUAGGAAGGAACACCAGUGGCGAAGGCGACCACCUGGGCUCAUACUGACACUGAGGUGCGAAAGCGGGGGGAGCAAACAGG
rnacentral:rRNA from 1 species